rnacentral:tRNA from 1 species
ACCUGACUGGCUCAGCUGGUAGAGCAUGUGACUCUCAAACUCAGUGUUGUGAGUUUGAACCCCUCGCUGGGUG